CUCCACCGGUCGCCCUUGGGCAGUGACUCCAGGACUGUCCAACCUGAGAAUGGUGAGUCUCCAGGGUCGUUCUCAGGUUCGUCAGCCCAUGAGAUGCUGCCCCUUCCCCAGCAGUGGCUGCCA
ensembl:miRNA